CCCCAGUAGCGGCGAGCGAACGGGGAGCAGCCCAGAGUCUGAAUCAGCUUGUGUGUUAGUGGAACGGUCUGGAAAGUCCGACGGUACAGGGUGAUAGUCCCGUACACCAAAAUGCACAGGCUGUGAACUCGAAGAGUAGGGCGGGACACGUGGUAUCCUGUCUGAAUAUGGGGGGACCAUCCUCCAAGGCUAAAUACUCCUGACUGACCGAUAGUGAACCAGUACCGUGAGGGAAAGGCGAAAAGAACCCCGGCGAGGGGAGUGAAAAAGAACCUGAAACCGUGUACGUACAAGCAGUGGGAGCACCUUCGGGUGUGACUGCGUACCUUUUGUAUAAUGGGUCAGCGACUUAUAUUCUGUAGCAAGGUUAACCGUAUAGGGGAGCCGCAGGGAAACCGAGUCUUAACUGGGCGUUAAGUUGCAGGGUAUAGACCCGAAACCCGGUGAUCUAGCCAUGGGCAGGUUGAAGGUUGGGUAACACUAACUGGAGGACCGAACCGACUAAUGUUGAAAAAUUAGCGGAUGACUUGUGGCUGGGGGUGAAAGGCCAAUCAAACCGGGAGAUAGCUGGUUCUCCCCGAAAGCUAUUUAGGUAGCGCCUCGUGAACUCAUCUUCGGGGGUAGAGCACUGUUUCGGCUAGGGGGUCAUCCCGACUUACCAACCCGAUGCAAACUACGAAUACCGAAGAAUGUUAUCACGGGAGACACACGGCGGGUGCUAACGUCCGUCGUGAAGAGGGAAACAACCCAGACCGCCAGCUAAGGUCCCAAAGUCAUGGUUAAGUGGGAAACGAUGUGGGAAGGCACAGACAGCCAGGAUGUUGGCUUAGAAGCAGCCAUCAUUUAAAGAAAGCGUAAUAGCUCACUGGUCGAGUCGGCCUGCGCGGAAGAUGUAACGGGGCUAAACCAUGCACCGAAGCUGCGGCAGCGACACUAUGUGUUGUUGGGUAGGGGAGCGUUCUGUAAGCCUGCGAAGGUGACCUGCGAGGGUUGCUGGAGGUAUCAGAAGUGCGAAUGCUGACAUAAGUAACGAUAAAGCGGGUGAAAAGCCCGCUCGCCGGAAGACCAAGGGUUCCUGUCCAACGUUAAUCGGGGCAGGGUGAGUCGACCCCUAAGGCGAGGCCGAAAGGCGUAGUCGAUGGGAAACAGGUUAAUAUUCCUGUACUUGGUGUUACUGCGAAGGGGGGACGGAGAAGGCUAUGUUAGCCGGGCGACGGUUGUCCCGGUUUAAGCAUGUAGGCUGGUUAUCCAGGCAAAUCCGGAUAAUCAAGGCUGAGGUGUGAUGACGAGGCACUACGGUGCUGAAGUAACAAAUGCCCUGCUUCCAGGAAAAGCCUCUAAGCAUCAGGUAACAUCAAAUCGUACCCCAAACCGACACAGGUGGUCAGGUAGAGAAUACCAAGGCGCUUGAGAGAACUCGGGUGAAGGAACUAGGCAAAAUGGUGCCGUAACUUCGGGAGAAGGCACGCUGGUGUGUAGGUGAAGUCCCUGCGGAUGGAGCUGAGACCAGUCGAAGAUACCAGCUGGCUGCAACUGUUUAUUAAAAACACAGCACUGUGCAAACACGAAAGUGGACGUAUACGGUGUGACGCCUGCCCGGUGCCGGAAGGUUAAUUGAUGGGGUUAUCCGUAAGGAGAAGCUCUUGAUCGAAGCCCCGGUAAACGGCGGCCGUAACUAUAACGGUCCUAAGGUAGCGAAAUUCCUUGUCGGGUAAGUUCCGACCUGCACGAAUGGCGUAAUGAUGGCCAGGCUGUCUCCACCCGAGACUCAGUGAAAUUGAACUCGCUGUGAAGAUGCAGUGUACCCGCGGCAAGACGGAAAGACCCCGUGAACCUUUACUAUAGCUUGACACUGAACAUUGAGCCUUGAUGUGUAGGAUAGGUGGGAGGCUUUGAAGCGUGGACGCCAGUCUGCGUGGAGCCAACCUUGAAAUACCACCCUUUAAUGUUUGAUGUUCUAACGUUGGCCCCUGACCGGGGUUGCGGACAGUGUCUGGUGGGUAGUUUGACUGGGGCGGUCUCCUCCCAAAGCGUAACGGAGGAGCACGAAGGUUAGCUAAUCCUGGUCGGACAUCAGGAGGUUAGUGCAAUGGCAUAAGCUAGCUUGACUGCGAGCGUGACGGCGCGAGCAGGUGCGAAAGCAGGUCAUAGUGAUCCGGUGGUUCUGAAUGGAAGGGCCAUCGCUCAACGGAUAAAAGGUACUCCGGGGAUAACAGGCUGAUACCGCCCAAGAGUUCAUAUCGACGGCGGUGUUUGGCACCUCGAUGUCGGCUCAUCACAUCCUGGGGCUGAAGUAGGUCCCAAGGGUAUGGCUGUUCGCCAUUUAAAGUGGUACGCGAGCUGGGUUUAGAACGUCGUGAGACAGUUCGGUCCCUAUCUGCCGUGGGCGCUGGAGAAUUGAGGGGGGCUGCUCCUAGUACGAGAGGACCGGAGUGGACGCAUCACUGGUGUUCGGGUUGUCAUGCCAAUGGCACUGCCCGGUAGCUAAAUGCGGAAGAGAUAAGUGCUGAAAGCAUCUAAGCACGAAACUUGCCCCGAGAUGAGUUCUCCCUGAGACUUUAAGUCUCCUGAAGGAACGUUGAAGACGACGACGUUGAUAGGCCGGGUGUGUAAGCGCAGCGAUGCGUUGAGCUAACCGGUACUAAUGAACCGUGAGGCUUAACCUU
rnacentral:rRNA from 1 species